GUGCCAGCAGCCGCGGUAAUACGUAGGGCGCGAGCGUUGUCCGGAAUUAUUGGGCGUAAAGAGCUCGUAGGCGGCUGGUCGCGUCUGUCGUGAAAUCCUCUGGCUUAACUGGGGGCUUGCGGUGGGUACGGGCCGGCUUGAGUGCGGUAGGGGAGACUGGAACUCCUGGUGUAGCGGUGGAAUGCGCAGAUAUCAGGAAGAACACCGGUGGCCGAAGGCGGGUCUCUGGGCCGUUACUGACGCUGAGGAGCGAAAGCGUGGGGAGCGAACAGGAUUAGAUACCCUGGUAGUCC
rnacentral:rRNA from 1 species